GACCCAGCGCGUGGUGGCGGGGCUACCAUGCAGUCGACGGUCUCUUCGGAGGCAGUGGCAGACGGGUGAGUAACGCGUGGGAACGUGCCUUUCGGUACGGAACAACAGUUGGAAACGACUGAUAAUACCGUAUACGCCCUAUGGGGGAAAGAUUUAUCGCCGAGAGAUUGGCCCGCGUUAGAUUAGCUAGUUGGUGAGGUAAUGGCUCACCAAGGCGACGAUCUAUAGCUGGUCUGAGAGGAUGAUCAGCCACACUGGGACUGAGACACGGCCCAGACUCCUACGGGAGGCAGCAGUGGGGAAUAUUGGACAAUGGGCGCAAGCCUGAUCCAGCCAUGCCGCGUGAGUGAUGAAGGCCUUAGGGUUGUAAAGCUCUUUCAGCGAGGAGGAUAAUGACGUUACUCGCAGAAGAAGCCCCGGCUAACUUCGUGCCAGCAGCCGCGGUAAUACGAAGGGGGCUAGCGUUGUUCGGAAUCACUGGGCGUAAAGCGCACGUAGGCGGAUUGGUCAGUUAGGGGUGAAAUCCCAGAGCUCAACUCUGGAACUGCCUUUUAAUACUGCCAGUCUUGAGUCCGAGAGAGGUGAGUGGGAACUCCGAGUGUAGAGGUGAAAAUUCCGUAGAU
rnacentral:rRNA from 1 species